UUGAAAAAAUUGUUUGUCAAUACAAUACAAUUCAUCUUCAGCGAUUGGAAAACCAAGAGAACACGGUAGCGUUUUGGGCAGAAGUGAAAACGUUUAUGGAUUCUGCUGGCAACAGACAGUUUCAAGAUUUGGCAGUAUUUGCCUUAAAUUUGUUGUCGCUGCCAUGGUCGAAUGCGGAAGUGGAGCGCGUGUUCAGCCAAGUUAACUUGGUGAAAACAAAGUUAAGGAACAGGCUUCACAUCGAAGCGCUAAAUUCGAUUUUGGCAGUUAGAUUUGGAUUACGCCUGAAAAAUUUUUGCGCCAAAUCGGCACAAACAUGAAUGUUUUAGAAUCUGAAAAUGAAACACUCGACGAAGUGUUAAUAAAUUUGCAUGAAAAUGUAUAAAUUUA